UACUUUACAUGCUAGCUAUUUUUAGCUUAUAAUAUGUAUGCUCUGUAUGGGCUAUGGUAAUAAACGUUAUUUGGAAUAGAAGUUGCGGACCCGGGGGCGGUACCCGGCGCCUCCACCAAAUUUUAUGGGGGUGAAAUAGGAUCGACGUGCUUAAUAAAGAAAUAAUUUUUACCCGGUAUGAUACCACCGAAUCCUUGUGAUUUAGGGUCAAAAAAAGUAAAUGCAAACGAUAAUACUAAUCGCUUUGCGACUUUAGCUGUUGCUUAGUCGUAGUAACUAAAGUCACGGGGCUGGGGGCUUGCCUGGCAACAGAAAAGCCCUAAU
rnacentral:tmRNA from 1 species